rnacentral:rRNA from 1 species
AGCAGCCGCGGUAAUUCCAGCUCCAAUAGCGUAUAUUAAAGUUGUUGCAGUUAAAAAAGCUCGUAGUUGAAUUUCGGAGUUCUACCGUCGGUCGGGCUACCAAGUCUGUACUGGUGUGUAGAAUUCCUACCUUCUGGGGAACUAUCAUGUUAUUAAUUUAGCGUGGUGGGAAACCAGGACCUUUACCUUGAAAAAAUUAGAGUGUUCAAA